AUGGGAGUGUCAACUCCAUCAUCCUCUAUAUAUUCUGCAGGUCACGAUCUCAAUCCUGAAUAUUAUUAUUUUAAACCAGAAAUUGAGAAUAAUGGUAGAUUGGUGAAAGGCCUCUGUAAGUGCAUUGAGACGCUUAAUGAAAGUUAUGCAGUGGAAGAUUUGAUUUCAGAACAAUUGUCACAAUACAGGGGUGAUACGGGUCUCUUUGGUAUAAGAGCGGCAAUUAG